UACAGAGGGUGCAAGCGUUGCUCGGAAUCAUUGGGCGUAAAGGGUAGGUAGGUGGUCUCAUUUGUCUGGGGUGAAAGCCUUGAGCUUAACUCGAGAAGUGCCCCGGAAACGGUGAGACUGGAGUCUUGGAGAGGGUCGUGGAAUUCCCGGUGUAGCGGUGAAAUGCGUAGAGAUCGGGAGGAACACCAGCGGCGAAGGCGGCGACCUGGACAAGUACUGACGCUGAGGCGCGAAAGCGUGGGGAGCAAACAGG
rnacentral:rRNA from 1 species